rfam:Hordeum vulgare subsp. vulgare, WGS project CAJW01000000 data, contig: morex_contig_2547493
UUCAUACCCUCUCCGUCCAAAAUUACUUGUCAUAAAAAUUCAUAGAAAUGAAUGUAUGUAGAACUAAAAAAAGUCUAAAUACAUCCAUUCUUACGACAAGUAAUUUCUGACGGAGGGAGUAUAAU